AGGACCGCAGCAGGGGUCAGGCCUGCCCUGCACUCACCAGGCGGGGAAGUUUUCAAUUUGGGGUGCUGCUGGAUCCUCAAUGACACCUGGAAGUACAGGUGGCACCAGGGGCCCAAAGCAUCAUUUUAUACAGGAUGCUGAGAUAUAAAUGCCCAGGACCCAACUUUGAUGGAAGGACAUCCCUCCAGGUCUCUCUGUGUAGCCCAGCCAUCAAACUUCCCCUACUCCCACCCCCAGCACCUCAUCUCCCAACUUAGGCAGUAGGAGACAUCAGGAGGUCAAGGAGUCUGGGAGCUGCAGCCAAGACACUGCCCACAUCAGCACCCAGUAAGAUAAGAGCAGCCAUGUGAUGCUGAGUGUGCCUGCUAGCCUCUCUCUGGUGUGUUUGCAUUUUCAGGAGCUGAAACACAUUGGUCCAAAAGGAUAAAGACUUAAAACUUAAAAAAAAAAACUGUAUAGCGUGUUCUACACUAUUAAACAGCAACAUUUAAAAAAAUGAAAUAAAAC